AGUAGCGUUGUUGUGAUGACAAUCGUGCUGACUGGCAAUCCAACACAUCCUGGUGUCUCACUGCUGCACCUGUUACUUCCACAAAUAGUCUACCUGCCAACAUUCCGGAGAGACACAAACAAGACUCGUCAACCAGAUGGCCGCUGCUCGGAGAUUUCACGGGGUCAGACAGCCCAAGUUUUGGUGAUUUCCGAGUUCCCAGUGAGGUGAGCUGGGGCGACAAAUGUAAAUCGUCGGUUGGUUCUGACAAUAAGAAUGGUUUUCGUCCUGUGACAGACACUGUAACCUGCGGAGACGCAACAUAAAUGGAGCCACUCAGAGCACAGAUUGUCUGAAAGUGUGCCCUCUCUGCCCUACUUACAGGAAUCAUUGGGUGUGACCAUUCGGAACAGUGGUGAACCAGCACGUGGCACAUUUACGGAAACAGGAAAGUUCACUGAGGUUCAUCCCGGUUCCAAGCUCGCGCAGCUGUCACUGGAGUGAAAAUGGGCGGGACUUAGGAAGAACCGAUGAGUGUAUUUUGGCUGAAAACCUUUAGUUUGACUUGCUCAGUAACUGAAUUGAGCAUAUUUGGCAUAAAAAAAAUGACCAUAAUGAAGAAAACAGUUUUAAAAUGCUGAACACCGUUCCCUCCUGCUGCAAUCUCCAGGCACUUGUAAGGUCAUAUAUGGCGCUGACAUCUUGAGAAAACCUGCACAUAACAGUCCCUAUUGAGCUCAUCAUUUAAAGUGCAGGUCUUCCAGGUUCAUACUUGCACUGAUGUGGACAAAUGAAUUAGUUUCAGCAUUUUGCUUCUCCUGCAUGUAUGGGUCAGAAUUAAUGAGCUGUGCUUCAGAUUGUUGUAUAUUAUUUUGCUCUCUGUGCCGUCUCUCGGGAGUCGAAUUACUUGAGCAUGCUCAGUUUGUGUGUACAUAUUCUUUGGCCACCCAAUAUUUUAAGAUGGUUCGUCGAGCUUUUCUGCAGUGGCUUGGCUGAUUCCUCUGCCACGGCUGGAGAGGUCAGCCAAGUUCCCCUCACAUUAAUCAGCCCUCUUCAUAUAUAAUUUACAAUGUUUAUACUAAUGCUUUGUACAAGAAUGAAGACCUGCCCUGAAGUGUGAGGAGGCCAUUCACAUCCGAACAUGCAAACAAAUAACUGCCCGCGGACUUUAAGGGGCAUUACGUCAAAAGCGUCACAGAAUCCACAAACACACCGUGGGACGUCCCCGUCAGCGCUUCCCACCAUCCUCGCCGACGUGCCGUCUGCAGCGUCCAACGUUUGCCUCUGGCCGCGUUGUUCCCACUCCGCUGACCUCUGAGUUCCGACAGAUCCCCGUUCCCUGAACCUCCUUUCUUCCAAAGUUCAAGGCCCGCUCUGAAAGACAGCUCUGGGAAAAAAAAGAGGACAAAGUUUAGGAGAAAGGAGAGUCGCAAGGGGGACAUGAGAAAUUCAUUUGAACUGCCGAGCGAUGGCUCAGUAGACGAGCGAUCUAACAAAACUUCAGACUGAGGUGAUCACCGCGGUGCAUUCACAGUAAUUAGCAGGACAGGGACGUUGCUGCUUGUUUGUUGCGAGUGUUUUUGCUUUCAGCUUGAUGUCUCUUGGCGGAGCCACAAAGCGACACCUGCUCACUUGUUACAGAGACACCACCUGCCAGCACAGAGAGGAAGGGAAACAGCCGCACUGAACAACACUGAUCUUCACUAAUCCAUUAUCCACCUCUGCAUCUGGCCCACCCCUGGGCCCCCAUAUGUCUUCAUUUGGACCUUUCACUGGGCCUGAUCACACACUUGAACUCCCA